rnacentral:rRNA from 1 species
GGGCGCACGCGCGCUACACUGACUGAACCAACGAGUUUAUCACCUUGGCCGGAAGGUCUGGGUAAUCUUGUGAAAUUCAGUAGUGCUGGGGAUAGAGCAUUGCAAUUCUUGCUCUUCAACGAGGAAUUCCUAGUAAGCGUGAGUCAUCAGCUCGCGUUGAUUACGUCCC